UACCCCACUAUGCUUAGCCAUAAACCAAGAUGUAACCAUUCGCCAGGGUACUACGAGCACAGCUUAAAACCCAAAGGACUUGGCGGUGCCUUAGACCCACCUAGAGGAGCCUGUUCUAUAACCGAUAACCCCCGUUAAACCUUACCAUCUCUUGUUUUACCCGCCUAUAUACCGCCGUCGUCAGCUUACCCUGUGAAGGCCCCAAAGUAAGCAAAAUGAACAAACCUCAAAACGUCAGGUCGAGGUGUAGCGAACGAGAUGGAAAGAAAUGGGCUACAUUUUCUGCAACAGAACACCACGAAUAGCGCCCUGAAAUAGGCACUUAAAGGAGGAUUUAGUAGUAAAAAGAAAACAAUGUGUUCUUUUGAACCUGGCUCUGAGGCGCGCACACACCGCC
rnacentral:rRNA from 1 species